AAAAUAAAAAAAAAAAAAAAACAAUAAAAUGUUAGGCGGAGAAAAUGUGUGGAGAGGAAGAACUAGACAGCAUAUAAGUUAAGAAUGUCCUAGACUUGUGGCAAGUCAGUCACAACAGUCAGAAUUGCUAGAAGAUCAAAUUAAAGAAGAUAAUUCUAUGAACAAAUUAUCAAAAGACAAGCAAAAGAUUGAGAAGUGAGAACAUCCAUAAUUAAUAAAGCUAUACGUAAUUAGGAUUCUAACUAGAUGAUGCAUUUUUUCAGAAGCUUCAAGCAACAAUUUUCAACUGUGCAAAUCCUAAUGUAUGUUUCAUUAUAUGUGAACAUGCUGAAAUAAGAUAUGUACAGGUCCAGGAGCAAAGUUUGAAUAAGAAGACUAAGCUUUUGUCCUAAGCUUUUGUCCUGAUAUAAGCCAAUUAAACAAUGAAAAUUUCAAAACAAAACCCAAUAUUACAAUUAAAUGAACACCACAAAAAUAGAUCAAACACUAGGAACAUAAGUCGAACAUAAGUCAGAUGGUAAAUUAGCAAUUAGCUUCUUUUGGAACCAGCUAACUCAUACCAAACAUGAAUCACCGGCAAGCCCGUACCAGUACCUAAUUUCCCAUACACUAUUACAUGGCUCUCUGUAUGCCAAUAAACAACUAUUUCAGAAAUUGUAGUGGUGUUCUUCAUUUAAAAAUACAAGCUCAAACAGAAAAAUACAAAAAUUAUGCAAAAAAUAUCUUAUAGGUUUAUGCAAGAAAUGCCUUUGAGUAGCACAAGCUUACAGAGGACCCUUUGAAAAGUAGUGUAAAUUAGAGGGCAGCACCAAUCACAAAAUGGACACAAGAUCAAAGCUCAAGUGAAAACGAUGCUGUUUAAUUAACGCCAACCAAAUAUUUUUAAAGUAGACUUCACAAGAAACUGGGGACCAAAUAAUCCAUCUUUUAAAAUGAUUGCACCAUACACAUAGUAAUAAUCUCAAACCAACUUCUAUCUGUCCUCCAAAAAAGGAAUUCUAAAGCAGUAGAGUUAUAGCACUUCUGCACUAAAACAGUACUUUCAACUAAAUUUUCAUGAAACAGAAAGUUUUACCAUAGGA
rnacentral:misc_RNA from 1 species